rnacentral:rRNA from 1 species
CCCUUAGAUGUCCGGGGCCGCACGCGCGCUACACUGAAGGAAUCAGCGUGGCUUUCUCCCUGACCCGAAAGGGUUGGGAAACCCGUUGAAUCUCCUUCGUGAUAGGGAUUGGGGCUUGAAAUUGUUCCCCAUGAACGAGGAAUUCCCAGUAAGCGCGAGUCAUAAGCUCGCGUUGAUUACGUCCCUGCCCUUUGUACACACCGCCCGUCGCUACUACCGAUUGAACGGUUUAGUGAGGGCCUCGGAUUGGUCUCGGCCCGCUCUUUACCGGGCGGCGCUGUUGGUCGAGAAGACGCUCGAACUUGAUCGUUUAGAGGAAGUAAAAGUCGUAACA